CCAUGGGCCGGCCCCGGGUUGGCUCUCUCUUGCUCAGGCCAUUGUCCAUGUGAUUCCCUGGCUGCCAUGGACCCUGGAGAGAGUUCCCACCCAGAAGAAGGCCCUCACCAGAUGCACCCCCUGGACUGUGGACUUCCCAGCUUCUGGAACUGUAAUACAUACAUUCUGUUUCCUUAUGCAUGACCUGGCUUCAGGUAUUCUGUUAUAAGCAACAGAAAACAGAAUAAUACAGAGUGUCCGGGAGUGGGGGCUCCCAGCAGAGAAGAGGAACGAAGAGGCUCCGGGUGGUGGGUGCCUGGCCCUUGUGUAGAUUCUCUUAGAGUUGCCACCUAGAGCAAGGCCUGGACCACAUGUCCUCAGUCCCUGCUAUCCCUCCUUGAUCUGGGUCCCCUCUCAGGCUUGGUCUCUGGCCUGUCUUCACAUGGGAGUGGUAAACUGAGAGACUGGCUGUGGCUAAGGAUGGCGGUGAAUGGGGCAGAGCCAGCCCACUUUGGUUGUAGCCACCUGGGAAAAACAAGUUCAGCCGAGCUCUCCAGGGCUCACAUGGGGAAGGGCCACGAUGGCAACAAUCAGCUCAACAAGGGUUCCAGGCUGUGUGGUGUCCUCUGGACCUCUGCCCUGUCUCUGGAGCAGCCCACCAGGAGGACAGCCCAGAGCCUAGAGUUUUCAGGGUCUCACAUUCCAACCUCUCCCUCCCCACAUUCAGACCGGCUUCUUUUCCAGCACGACAUUCAAAGGGGCUCUCCCUCCAGGAGAUUUUGACAAGUGUCAAGUAAAUCUCCACGUAAGAGCCUGAGUCUCCUGCUUCUAGGAUCGAAUCCAAACUCUGCCACUUGCUUGCUCUCUGAUCUUGGAGAAUUUGAGAAAACAGCAAAAUGCCAAGAGUCCAAAGGCAGGCUGGGACUCCCAGAGGGCAGAAAGGGAAACGGAGGCAAUGUGGACUGCAAGGAUGCUGCUGAGAGGAAGGCGCUGGCAGCAACAGAUCAGGGCUCCUUGAGGCCCAGCACUGGGCUACACCCUCAAUGGGCUGGAAAUCCGAGCAGCACCGAGUGGACACACUCAUUGGAAAGUCCUUCCUGAGCUCUAGCUCCAGUGACUCCUCAGAAGGCUCAGCCUUAUUCACAUUUGACAUUCUCAUGGACUUGCUUUCUGCUGUCCAGGGCCAAGCUUUAGUACAUUCUGGGAGGCAGGACAGCACAGUAGUUAAGCAGGAGAACUUGUUUUGGAUUUGCCUCUGGGUUUUACUACUUACUGGCUGUGUGAUCUUGGGCCAAUUACUUAACCUCUCUGUGCCUUAGCUUCCUCGACGGUAAUGCAGUUGUUGUAUGAAUUAAAUGACUUACACUGGAAAAGCACUUAGAAUGUUUCCUAGCCAAGCUUGCAGCAAGUGGUAGCUAUUAUUGUAGAGAGCCCUCAGCUGCCAUCAUCAUCAUCAGUUAUUUUAUUAUAGCACGUCCACCAAUGAACUUGGCUUCGAGUGGGAGGGUGUUUCCAAGCCCCUUUUACAUGAACCCACCCAUAUUUGUUGGCCCAGUCUGGAGGCAUUUUCCCAGACUACCUGGUCGCCAGAUCAGACAGAGCAGUGACUUUUCAUUAUGAACAAUUAGAACUGGUUUUCUUAGAGGGCUGGGGCCCCAGGCAGUGCUCAAGUGACCCCACCUGCCACUCAGUUACUGAUCAGAUGGGGGAGGGGCUUCCUGUUUGCUACUCACCCAUGGCCAAGCCUCAAUUAGUGGACAGACUCCAGUUAGAGCCUGACCGGUUAGACUACAGGAAAGACUUCCUAGCUUUACCCUGAAUGGGCCACUCUUCUCCGGGGGGAGUGGGACAGAGUCCUGUCUGGCCAGUGGGAAGAGAUGGAGUCACCGUCUAAGGCCAGAGGAGGGUCAGGAUGAGCUCUUGAGUCUGGAAUUUGGCAAGCUGAGUUGUCUAAAGCACAAUUUUCCAUUCCCCAGAGAGCGAUGGGAGUGGAGGAGGAGAAGUGUAUGGAGGCUGAGAUGGAAAUAGCCGGGCAGGUAUGCCAGUGGAGGAAGGGUGCAGUCACCGGGCCACCUCCCCACCCCCAGCCCUCAUCUGGGUCUCAUUACUCUGGCAACACACAGGUGGAAAAAUGUCCUGGGGAUAUUUCUCUAGAGCAAGAGCAAAAGCCAGACCCCGCAGUGCCUUUCACAUCAAAACUCGGGCAGACGAAGGAACAGGCAGCUAUUCCUACACACACACACACACACACACACACACACACACACACGCACCCGUGGCCCGAGGUCUCACCCGCACCCGCCGCACCACCCCCCACAGCUCCGCAUGCUCUGCAUCUGGCACUCACACCCACAGGAGAGCUGGGGCCUGGCGGACUCUGUGAUCAGUAAAAUCUGAUAUAGGUGAAAAUCAGGCAGCAGAAUCACAAUUUGCGGAUCAUUUGAACAAUGGUAGAUAUUGAACAAGUGGAAAGUUGGA